UCGGGUAUGGUGUAACGGCUAACAUUGCCGCCUCUCAUGUUUGAAGUUAGAUCGCGGCAGCUCGGGGUUCGAUUCCCCGUACCCGAA